AUGAGUGCUCUAAGUUGGAACUGCCGAGGGCUUGGGAACCCUUGGUCAGUUCGAGAGCUUCGCAAAGUUGUGAAGCAAGAAGCUCCCGCCCUUCUGUUUGUCAUGGAAACCAAAAUCAAGGGCAAGUGUGUGGAAGAUCUGAAGUUUACUCUGGGCUUUUCAGGCUGUUUUGCUGUCCAUAGUGACGGGUUGAGUGGAGGAGUCGGUCUCUUUUGG
rnacentral:rRNA from 1 species